rnacentral:rRNA from 1 species
CCACGGGUGGCUGCAGUGGGGAAUAUUGGACAAUGGGCGAAAGCCUGAUCCAGCCAUGCCGCGUGUGUGAAGAAGGCCUUCGGGUUGUAAAGCACUUUCAGUGGGGAAGAAAGCCUUGGGGCUAAUACCCUCGAGGAAGGACAUCACCCACAGAAGAAGCACCGGCUGAACUCCGUGCCAGCAGCCGCGGUAAUACGGAGGGUGCGAGCGUUAAUCGGAAUUACUGGGCGUAAAGCGCGCGUAGGCGGUCUGAUAAGCCGGUUGUGAAAGCCCCGGGCUCAACCUGGGAACGGCAUCCGGAACUGUCAGGCUAGAGUGCAGGAGAGGAAGGUAGAAUUCCCGGUGUAGCGGUGAAAUGCGUAGAGAUCGGGAGGAAUACCAGUGGCGAAGGCGGCCUUCUGGACUGACACUGACGCUGAGGUGCGAAAGCGUGGGUAGCAAACAGGAUUAGAUACCCCUGUAGUC